rnacentral:rRNA from 1 species
GGCGACGACGGGUAGCCGGCCUGAGAGGGCGACCGGCCACACUGGGACUGAGACACGGCCCAGACUCCUACGGGAGGCAGCAGUGGGGAAUAUUGCACAAUGGGCGCAAGCCUGAUGCAGCGACGCCGCGUGAGGGAUGACGGCCUUCGGGUUGUAAACCUCUUUCAGCAGGGAAGAAGCGCAAGUGACGGUACCUGCAGAAGAAGCGCCGGCUAACUACGUGCCAGCAGCCGCGGUA